ACCUAUUUGACGAGUCUCAAAUAAGACAAAACACGCGUCCUGGAU
rnacentral:hammerhead_ribozyme from 1 species